CGCCAGACUCCUACGGGAGGCAGCAGUGGGGAAUAUUGCACAAUGGGGGAAACCCUGAUGCAGCAACGCCGCGUGAGUGAAGAAGUAUUUCGGUAUGUAAAGCUCUAUCAGCAGGGAAGAAAAUGACAGUACCUGACUAAGAAGCCCCGGCUAACUACGUGCCAGCAGCCGCGGUAAUACGUAGGGGGCAAGCGUUAUCCGGAUUUACUGGGUGUAAAGGGAGCGCAGGCGGCGCGUUAAGCCUGGUGUGAAAGCCCGCGGCCCAACCGCGGGACUGCAUUGGGAACUGGCGCGCUGGAGUGCCGGAGGGGUAGGCGGAAUUCCUAGUGUAGCGGUGAAAUGCGUAGAUAUUAGGAGGAACACCAGUGGCGAAGGCGGCCUGCUGGACAGUAACUGACGUUGAGGCUCGAAAGCGUGGGGAGCAAACAGGAUUAGAUACCCGAGUAAA
rnacentral:rRNA from 1 species